GCGGGACUUCCGGCGCGUCGGGACUCCGUCCGGGUCGGGUGUUGUGCACGACAAGCGCCCUGGGCUUUCCAGAGGACGGCGGGCCAGUGAGGGUGAGGAGGCGCGCGCAACCAAGAGGCGGAGGGUUGGGGAAUGGCGACCGCGCCCCUGCCGGAGGCCACUUCUGGAAUGAAGGAUGGCAGCACGCCGUGCAUUAAAAGCUGUUUUGGUAGAUCUCAAUGGCACACUUCACAUUGAAGAUGCAGCUGUGCCAGGCGCACAGGAAGCUCUUAAAAGGCAAGCUAUCCUCCAGGUUCAGAUGACAAAUACGUUUUUAAGUGCCGCUUUACCAAGGCAGAUCAUUAGCUAAAUGGAUGGCCUUGAGAUGGCGUUUCACCAGCUCACCAUACGUGGCGAACUGCCUUGGGUUUAUCCAGAAGAUGUAUGCGUUGUAAUAUCCUCCGAACACUGUUCUCCCUGCCUUUAUUAGGUUUGGCCUUUAGUCUUUUUGUUCUACCUCCUCCUCCUCCUGCUCUGAUUUUUU